rnacentral:rRNA from 1 species
AUCGACGGACGAGUGAGUAACACGCGGGUAACCUGCCGGUAAGACUGGGAUAACUCCGGGAAACCCCAUCCUAAUACCGGAUAGUUCCCUCGAACAGCGAGGGUUCAAGGAUGAAAGACGGUUUCGGGUGUCACUUUCAGAUGGACACGCGGCGCACUAGAUAGUAGGUGGGGUAAUGGCUCUACAAGGUGGGUAUGGGUACCUCUCCUCAGAGGGUGAUCGGCCACACUGCGAGUGAGGCGCGUCCCAGACUCCUUCGGGAGGCAGCAGUAGGGAAUCUUCCGCAAGGGACCAAAGUGGGAUGGAGCACCACGGGGGGAGUGAUGAAGGUUCUCGGAUCGUAAAACUCUGUUGUCAGGGAAGACCUAGUGCGAGAGUAUCUGCUAGCACCAUGACGGUACCUAACCAGGAAGCCACGGCUAACUACGUGCCAGCAGCCGCGGUAAUACGUAGGUGGCAAGCGUUGUCCGGAAUUAUUGGGCGUAAAGGAGUCGCAGGCGGUUUUUUAAGUCUGAUGUGAAAACCCCCGGCUCAACCGGGGAGGGUCAUUUGAAACUGGGUAUCUUGAGUGCAGAAGAGGAGAGUGGAAUUCCUCGUGUAGCGGUGAAAUGCGUAGAGAUGUGGAGGAACACCAGUGGCGAAGGCGACUCUCUGGUCUGUAACUGACGCUGAGGAGCGAAAGCGUGGGGAGCGAACAGGAUUAGAUACCCUGGUAGUCCACGCCGUAAACGAUGAGUGCUAAGUGUUAGGGGGUUUCCCCCCCUUAGUGCCGCAGCUAACGCAUUAACACUCCGCCUGGAGC